GAUUAUCUAAAUUCUAUUUGUGUCAUGUAAAUUGAGAUAAAAAUUAAUAUAUUAAACCUGUGAUAGAUCUCGAAUAAAUCUUAAAAUGUAUAUGCAAUUCUUUAAAAAAAAUGUUAUUUAAAUAUAUCAAAAUCGAAAAAGUAAAUUUUAAUGCAGCACGUUAAAUAAUGUAUAAGAACUAAUGUUAACAUAAAUAAUACCAAUAUUUACUAAUAAAAACAUUACUAAUAUAAAUAUUACUAAUAUAUUCUAUUCAAAAAGAAAAUUUAUACAUUAUAACAAAUGACUCCUACGUUAGGAAUAUAUACAAAAGAAAAGUUUGAUAAAAAAUUUAUAAAAACAUAUUUUAUAAGUAUAUUUUAUCGUACCAAUAAAAAUAUUCUAUUGCUCAAACUUCCUACUCCAACAUAAAUUCUAAAACUUAAAAUUUGCAAUGCACAUAUUUUAAUCUGAUUCAGAAAAAAUCAAGUUUUUACUCGAAUUUUGGAGUUAAUCUUUUGGUGGGUUUUGUUAUUUUUAUGGAAAUUGAGUUGAAUGGGGAAGUGGGGUUUUUGAAGAAAAUGAUAUUUUCUUGAUUUGGGCUUUGAUCUGAUAAAAAAAUAAACUUUUCCCCUCAUUAUAUGCUUGAAUUUGGUGGGUUUUGAAAAUUUUCCCGAAAAUUUGAGCUGAAUUAGAAAGUGGGGUUUGAAAAAUUCGACAAGAAUCAAGUUUUAUUCCCUAAGAGUUGGGUUGGGGAAGAUAUAAAGUUUAAGCUUUUGAAGGUUUUAGCUAAAUUUCAUGAUGAAGUUGUGGAGGCUAAUGAAACUGUUGCUUCAAGGACCGUCGUUAGAUUUGGUUAUACAAAACCUAAACUGGCUUUGGUAUUUGCAAAUUUGUUGGUUGAUCCAUAUCAAAUAAUGAUGGCUAAUGUUGCAGCUGCAUUAAGAGAGAUCAGCUACGCAAUUGAGAGGAUUGAUGAGGCUGCUGGAGUUGUCGUUCCAUUUGACCCGAAACCUAUUCCUGUGACCUUUCUGCCACAUAUCUUCUUAUCACGUUACUGUUAGUUCAAAUGCCAGGUUGAUCUGCUCACUGAUAGUUAAAUAAUACUUGCCACAUGCUGAUUAUUCUCGAGUGAAGCCUUGCAUUUACGUCCUUUUCCCCCUGUUUACUGUCAGAGUUAUUGGAAUGGUGUUGGUGCUCACUCAAACUACAGAGACUUGAACGAGCCAAUUGAAUUUAGUAGACUCCACUUGAAAAUUUGGAGAUUGUAUUACAGGAAGACAUUCAGAAGCUAUGGGAUUCCGACCCAAAGCUGCAAGCUCACAAGGGAACACCUUUAAGCGACUUCUUUAAUGUCGAAGUUGUGGCUCUUUCUACCUAUGAAGAAAAGGAAGAACAAUUCAAAGAGCAGGUGGCUAGCCUAAGACAACGAUCCAUUCAUUCUAUUGCACCCGAUAGGCUUGGUGGAGAUAGGCGAGCAGUUGUCCUUGCUUCAGGCUUUUCAUUUAGUGCUAAAGAGAUAUGGAAUAUUACAAACGAGAACAAAGACCUUGACCUGCCUGCCCAUAAGGUUAUGGUAGCUGCUGUGCGCUGUGAAGAAAUUGCCCAUGAAAAAUAUGUUGCUUUUACCGAAAAUGAGUACAGCUUGGAAGUUGGAAACUGUGACAAAGUUCAGGUGUUGCUGUCUUGGUAGAUUUCAUCUCAGAUCAAGGAUGCACAACUUUUUGUUAUCUAUGUAAAUACGAUGUAUAUAACCUACAUCCUCUUGUAAAACUUGGCUCCAUGAUAAAUACUAUGAAGUAAAUAGUUUGUCCUGUACAUUGCUACAUUAAAUUUAAUUUUUCUUUACAUGCAUUGCGUUGGGCCCGUGCUAACACGGUGUGGUGGCUCGAGAAAAUUUUAAACUAAGUACAACUUUGGCACAUAAAGAAAUUAUGGUACAAAGGAAAACAAAUGGAGUAGGAUGUUUAUGUAUACAUGUUAUUUGUAUGUUAUUGCUGCUAAGAUAGACUUAAGAAGUAUUGUUAUAUUUUCUCCGUUUCAUAAUAAAUGAAUUGUUGGAUUUUGGCACACAGAUUAAGAAAAAAACAAUAAAGAUAUAAAUUUAACACAAUUUUUCAUUUUUACCCCAAAAAAAAGUUAAUCUUGUAAUAUUUUUUUAAAAGUUAAUUGAUUGUCAAAUUAUAAGGGUAAUUUUGAAAAAUUUUUUAUCACAUUUUGAAACACAAAUAAAUACCUCAAUAAUUUACUUAUUCUGAAACGGAGGGAGUACUAUGUGAUAAGUGUAUAAUUGUGGGGCCACCCUUUUUUUUUUUUUUUUUAAUAAUUUCCCUAUUUAGUAGCAAACAAAAGGGGCAAAUAUUCCCUUUUGUUCACUGGAACUCCUGCUAUAAGGGAAAGAAAAAAGAAAGGCUAUAAGGGAAAGAAAGAAAAAAGAAAGUAAAAGGAUCGUGCAAGCCCAAGGUUUCAACUCCUUUUCCAACAAAUAUAAAAAGGAGAAAUUGGUUUUCUUGCUUGGCUUCUAAGGGUGAAGAAGCAGUACUAUCCCAUACUCUCUCUGUUGGUCCUCUUUUCUUCUUUCAACAUCGAGGGAUUAAUUUCAUAUUUAGACUUGGGAUUGAAUUUUAAAGGCUAAUGAAUUGCAUACCGGAUAGCGGAAACUAGUGCUGGAAAUGAUAAAGGUUUCAAUAACACGGGUUAAAUUACUUGAGGCUCGAAGUACUAUCGUAGCUAGUAAAGCAUUAAGGUUUGGCUUGGCAUAUUGCUCGACGUGAUUCUGUGUAUAGGAUCGAGACUAGACCACUAUAGCGAGCCCAACCAUUGGGCGUACCUCUUUUGUGGCAUUAUUUGUAUUUGGAGCCAGCUGGAGCAUCAUGUACUGGUUUUUCCUGACUCGAGCCAACAUAUGGCAUAUACGAUCUGCGGACAGACCCUCAUAGUGAGCUCUUGGGCGAGGCAUACCUGGAUACAGACUGCGAUUAAAGCUACGCAUGUGAGAUCAUAUCAUUAGAUAUGUGAGCAACAUAUGCUUUAUACUUGCCUCAGAUUGCCUUCGGAAGGCCAUCAUAUGAUCAUUUGUACGACUUAUAUGAUAAGUGCAUCACCUAGGCAAAGUAUAGGUCCUAUAUUAUGAUGAACGUUUUUCUAAAUAUUAUAUAUGAUGCUAAUAAAGUUGGUGCAUAAGUUAUCAGUUCAUAUCGUAUAUGUGUUUUGGUUAGCUCAUUCGUUUUUCAUUUAUCAUUUGACUCAUACGAGCUUCUGUAUUUGUCGAGCUGUUAUUCUGUCUGCUUUCAUACCAGUACGUGUUGUUUAUGUACUUACGUCUCGGGCCCAUCAUAUUUUAUU